rnacentral:rRNA from 1 species
CCUACGGGCGGCAGCAGUAGGGAAUAUUGCUCAAUGGGGGAAACCCUGAAGCAGCAACGCCGCGUGGAGGAUGAAGGUUUUAGGAUUGUAAACUCCUGUUGUUAGAGAAGAUUAUGACGGUAUCUAACGAAUAAGCACCGGCUAACUACCUGCCAGGAGCCGCGGUAAUACGUAGGGUGCAAGCGCUACUCGGAUUCACUGGGCGUAAAGAGUGCGUAGGCGGGGUAAUAAUUCAGAAGUGAAAUCCUGUAGCCUAACUAAAGAACUGCAUUUGAAACUGUUACUCUGGAGUGUGAGAGAGGUGGGUGGAAUUCUAGGUGUAGGGGUGAAAUCCGUAGAUAUCAAGAGGAAUACUGAUUGCGAAAGCGACCUGCUGGCACAUUACUGACGCUGAUGCACGAAAGCGUGGGGAGCAAACAGGAUUAGAUACCCGUGUAGUC